rnacentral:tRNA from 1 species
CAGGGGCUAGUUUAAACAAAACGGCCAAUUUCGAAUUGGCAGAUUAGGACGCCACCCUAACCCCAGA